rnacentral:rRNA from 1 species
GGUUAAGCGACUAAGCGUACACGGUGGAUGCCCUGGCAGUCAGAGGCGAUGAAGGACGUGCUAAUCUGCGAAAAGCGUCGGUAAGGUGAUAUGAACCGUUAUAACCGGCGAUGUCCGAAUGGGGAAACCCAGUGCAAUUCGUUGCACUAUCGUUAACUGAAUACAUAGGUUAACGAGGCGAACCGGGGGAACUGAAACAUCUAAGUACCCCGAGGAAAAGAAAUCAACCGAGAUUCCCCCAGUAGCGGCGAGCGAACGGGGAGCAGCCCAGAGUCUGAAUCAGCUUGUGUGUUAGUGGAACGGUCUGGAAAGUCCGACGGUACAGGGUGAUAGUCCCGUACACCAAAAUGCACAGGCUGUGAACUCGAAGAGUAGGGCGGGACACGUGGUAUCCUGUCUGAAUAUGGGGGGACCAUCCUCCAAGGCUAAAUACUCCUGACUGACCGAUAGUGAACCAGUACCGUGAGGGAAAGGCGAAAAGAACCCCGGCGAGGGGAGUGAAAAAGAACCUGAAACCGUGUACGUACAAGCAGUGGGAGCACCUUCGGGUGUGACUGCGUACCUUUUGUAUAAUGGGUCAGCGACUUAUAUUCUGUAGCAAGGUUAACCGUAUAGGGGAGCCGCAGGGAAACCGAGUCUUAACUGGGCGUUAAGUUGCAGGGUAUAGACCCGAAACCCGGUGAUCUAGCCAUGGGCAGGUUGAAGGUUGGGUAACACUAACUGGAGGACCGAACCGACUAAUGUUGAAAAAUUAGCGGAUGACUUGUGGCUGGGGGUGAAAGGCCAAUCAAACCGGGAGAUAGCUGGUUCUCCCCGAAAGCUAUUUAGGUAGCGCCUCGUGAACUCAUCUUCGGGGGUAGAGCACUGUUUCGGCUAGGGGGUCAUCCCGACUUACCAACCCGAUGCAAACUACGAAUACCGAAGAAUGUUAUCACGGGAGACACACGGCGGGUGCUAACGUCCGUCGUGAAGAGGGAAACAACCCAGACCGCCAGCUAAGGUCCCAAAGUCAUGGUUAAGUGGGAAACGAUGUGGGAAGGCACAGACAGCCAGGAUGUUGGCUUAGAAGCAGCCAUCAUUUAAAGAAAGCGUAAUAGCUCACUGGUCGAGUCGGCCUGCGCGGAAGAUGUAACGGGGCUAAACCAUGCACCGAAGCUGCGGCAGCGACACUAUGUGUUGUUGGGUAGGGGAGCGUUCUGUAAGCCUGCGAAGGUGACCUGUGAGGGUUGCUGGAGGUAUCAGAAGUGCGAAUGCUGACAUAAGUAACGAUAAAGCGGGUGAAAAGCCCGCUCGCCGGAAGACCAAGGGUUCCUGUCCAACGUUAAUCGGGGCAGGGUGAGUCGACCCCUAAGGCGAGGCCGAAAGGCGUAGUCGAUGGGAAACAGGUUAAUAUUCCUGUACUUGGUGUUACUGCGAAGGGGGGACGGAGAAGGCUAUGUUAGCCGGGCGACGGUUGUCCCGGUUUAAGCAUGUAGGCUGGUUAUCCAGGCAAAUCCGGAUAAUCAAGGCUGAGGUGUGAUGACGAGGCACUACGGUGCUGAAGUAACAAAUGCCCUGCUUCCAGGAAAAGCCUCUAAGCAUCAGGUAACAUCAAAUCGUACCCCAAACCGACACAGGUGGUCAGGUAGAGAAUACCAAGGCGCUUGAGAGAACUCGGGUGAAGGAACUAGGCAAAAUGGUGCCGUAACUUCGGGAGAAGGCACGCUGGUGUGUAGGUGAAGUCCCUGCGGAUGGAGCUGAGACCAGUCGAAGAUACCAGCUGGCUGCAACUGUUUAUUAAAAACACAGCACUGUGCAAACACGAAAGUGGACGUAUACGGUGUGACGCCUGCCCGGUGCCGGAAGGUUAAUUGAUGGGGUUAUCCGUAAGGAGAAGCUCUUGAUCGAAGCCCCGGUAAACGGCGGCCGUAACUAUAACGGUCCUAAGGUAGCGAAAUUCCUUGUCGGGUAAGUUCCGACCUGCACGAAUGGCGUAAUGAUGGCCAGGCUGUCUCCACCCGAGACUCAGUGAAAUUGAACUCGCUGUGAAGAUGCAGUGUACCCGCGGCAAGACGGAAAGACCCCGUGAACCUUUACUAUAGCUUGACACUGAACAUUGAGCCUUGAUGUGUAGGAUAGGUGGGAGGCUUUGAAGCGUGGACGCCAGUCUGCGUGGAGCCAACCUUGAAAUACCACCCUUUAAUGUUUGAUGUUCUAACGU